rnacentral:rRNA from 1 species
GCCAGCCCGCUCAGAACUUAAAGGAAUUGACGGGACCCGCACAAGCGGUGGAGCAUGUGGUUUAAUUCGACGAUACGCGAAGAACCUUACCUGGCCUUGACAUACUAAAAAGCUUUAAGAGAUUAGAGUGUGCUAGCUUGCUAGAAUUUAGAUACAGGUGCUGCACGGCUGUCGUCAGCUCGUGUCGUGAGAUGUUGGGUUAAGUCCCGCAACGAGCGCAACCCUCGUGUUUAGUUGCUAACAGUUCGGCUGAGAACUCUAAACAGACUGCCUACGCAAGUAGGAGGAAGGUGAGGACGACGUCAAGUCAUCAUGGCCCUUACGGCCUGGGCUACACACGUGCUACAAUGGUCGGUACAAAGGGUUGCCAAGCCGCGAGGUGGAGCUAGUCCCAUAAAACCGAUCGUAGUCCGGAUCGCAGUCUGCAACUCGACUGCGUGAAGUCGGAAUCGCUAGUAAUCGUGAAUCAGAAUGUCACGGUGAAUACGUUCCCGGGCCUU